rnacentral:lncRNA from 1 species
GCCAGGCACAGUGGUGAACACCUGUAGUUCCAAUUAUUUGGGAGGCUAAGGCAGGAGGAUUGCAAGUUUGAGGCCAGUUUGGGCAACAUAGUGUCACAAUAUAAAAAAUAAAGGGAUGGGAAUAUAGCUCAGUGUUAAGAGUGUUUGCCUAGUAUGCAUGAGACCCCAGUUUCAAUCUCUAGUACUGCAAAUAAAUAAAUAAAAUAAAGAAAAACAACCACACAUCCACCCUAACCUGGACAGCUGCCUUCAUUCACAGUGCUGUAUCCUUAAAUCAUGAUGGGGAAAAUGAAUAAAAGCAGAGAGCCUCUGCUGUUAAAUGUUUUCAACAAUCCAGAUGAUACUUCAGUGUCUGCUCAUGCUUUAGGACAGUGAAUCAGGACAAGUCAGAUUUACUUCAUUUUAGGACUGAAGAUGUCUGGGCUAUUUUUUUGUAAGUUUCUAAGACUGUGUUCAUUAAAUGCAAAGGAAAAAAAGGAAGUCUUGGCAGAACAGGAGAAGUGAUGUGCACUUGAUGAUGAGAUUUAUUUAAAUACUACUCAUGGCAUGUAGCCUAGUCCAUGCUUUAGCUAUUUCUAGAGGUUGGUCUUUGUUACUCUUCUGCUGCUCUACUACAUCGUUUACUAAUGGAUCAUCUGGUUAAGGGCACUUAACAAAGCCUGGAACAGUAGUAGAUCUGGGCAGGUCCUCAGACUGGAAACAGCUUUUGCUUUUAAAAUAUAUAAACAUAUUCUUCCUCAUUUGACUGCAUUAGGGUGAUAAAUUUUGGGCAUGAUAUAAUUUUGUUAACCAUCUGGUAUGGGAGAAAUAGUUCAGUUUAAAAGCCCCUCCCUGAAAGGGGGAAUUCUGUGGGCCAGCAAUGACCACGUGAAGUUAAUACGUGUUGCUUUUUUCCUGGUUUUGCUGGCAAGCACAGGGUUUUGCUGAUCCUUGAGCAAGCCCAGUCAUCAGAGUGCCUGGUCUUAUCUCCCUUAUCAUUCUUCAUUUGAAUAUAAAGCCUCUCAAUUUGCAUUUGGUAAAAUUACUUUCUCCUUUAGACAGUUCCUCCUCUCCAGUCAAAAUUAAUCUGGAAAACUCUUAAUUCUAAUUAGUUAUGAGAAUAUUGUUAAUUUAACUCAGGUGUGAAUGUUUU